AUCGAUAAUCCGCGUUAANUUUCACUUUGCUUAUAAAUUUAUAUACCGCCAUCUUAAGAAUUAAUUAAAAAAUAUUUCUCUAAAAAACCAAUAAAAAGUUAGGUCAAGGUAUAAUUUACAUUAAAGAAUGAGAUGAAUUACACUAAAUAAAAUUUAAAGACUAUAUAUUUAUAUAUUUAUACAAAUAAGGAUUUAAAAGUAAUAUUUAAAUAAUAUUAUAAUAUGAUAUAAUAAAAAAUGUGCACACAUCGCCC
rnacentral:rRNA from 1 species